rnacentral:rRNA from 1 species
AUCAACUUUCGAUGGUAGGAUAGAGGCCUACCAUGGUGGUAACGGGUAACGGGGUGUUAGGGCACGACACCGGAGAGGGAGCCUGAGAAACGGCUACCACAUCCAAGGAUGGCAGCAGGCGCGCAAAUUACCCAAUCCCGACACGGGGAGGUAGUGACAAUAAAUAACAAUACGGGGUUCUUUCGGAUUUCGUAAUUGGAAUGAGUACAAUUUAAAUCUCUUAACGAGGAACAAUUGGAGGGCAAGUCUGGUGCCAGCAGCCGCGGUAAUUCCAGCUCCAAUAGCGUAUAUUAAAGUUGCUGCAGUUAAAAAGCUCGUAGUUGAAUUUCGGGACCAAUAUGUCGGUCGUGCCUCGGUACGUACUGGCAUCGUUGGUUUCUCCCUUCUGACGAACCAUGAUGUCAUUUAUUUGGUGUCGUGGGGAAUCAGGACUGUUACUUUGAAAAAAUUAGAGUGUUUAAAGCAGGCUCACGCUUGAAUACAUUAGCAUGGGAUAAUGAAAUAGGACGUUUGAUUCUAUUUUGUUGGUUUCUAGGAUCGACGUAAUGAUUAAUAGGGAUAGUUGGGGGCAUUAGUAUUCAAUUGUCAGAGGUGAAAUUCUUGGAUUUAUUGAAGACUAACUACUGCGAAAGCAUUUGCCAAGGAUGUUUUCAUUAAUCAAGAACGAAAGUUAGGGGAUCGAAGACGAUCAGAUACCGUCGUAGUCUUAACCAUAAACUAUGCCGACUAGGGAUCGGAUGAUGUUAAUUUUUUAAUGACUCAUUCGGCGCCUUACGGGAAACCAAAGUGUUUGGGUUC